GACGAUGCGUAGCCGACCUGAGAGGGUGAUCGGCCACACUGGGACUGAGACACGGCCCAGACUCCUACGGGAGGCAGCAGUAGGGAAUCUUCCGCAAUGGACGAAAGUCUGACGGAGCAACGCCGCGUGAGUGAUGAAGGUUUUCGGAUCGUAAAACUCUGUUGUUAGGGAAGAACAAGUACCGUUCGAAUAGGGCGGCACCUUGACGGUACCUAACCAGAAAGCCACGGCUAACUACGUGCCAGCAGCCGCGGUAAUACGUAGGUGGCAAGCGUUGUCCGGAAUUAUUGGGCGUAAAGCGCGCGCAGGCGGUUUCUUAAGUCUGAUGUGAAAGCCCCCGGCUCAACCGGGGAGGGUCAUUGGAAACUGGGGAACUUGAGUGCAGAAGAGGAGAGUGGAAUUCCACGUGUAGCGGUGAAAUGCGUAGAGAUGUGGAGGAACACCAGUGGCGAAGGCGACUCUCUGGUCUGUAACUGACGCUGAGGCGCGAAAGCGUGGGGAGCGAACAGGAUUAGAUACCCUGGUAGU
rnacentral:rRNA from 1 species